CCGGGGGUGCUGCCAGCCGGAGUCAGGGCCAGAGCCAGGCUGGGACUGGGCUGUGCCGCCAGGACCGGAGCCGGGCCACACCACUGGGACCGGAGCCGGGGCUGGGGCACGCCGCCUGGCCGGGACCGAAGCCGGGGCCGGGACGCACCACCCAGCCAGGGCGCCUGGCUGGGGCCAGGGCCGGAGCUGGGCUGCACUGCUGGGGCCAGAGCCGGGCCACGGCACCAGGCCGGGACCGAAGCCGGAGUCAGGGCCGGGGCGCGCCACCCGACUGGGGCCAGGGAGCUGGGCUGCGCCACCCCUCCCCGGAGCCCUCCUCACUCCCCCUUCCCCCCACUCACCUGCGCAAAGCUGCCCUUCUCAGCGCUCCCAGGCUUCCUGCGUUCAGGGGAGGAGGCAGAGAAAAUCCUGUUCCUUGGACUAAUGGCUACUCCUUUCGUUGCUCGUUUAUCUGGCACAAGAUUUCAGAAGGUGAACAGCCCUCACAAAGACCUUGUGAAUAUAAAGCUCUCCAGGAUGAGUCGUUUCCACAUUGCCACCAGCCUCAGAUGCAAGAUCCACAAUUACCGAUCCAUCCUUCAUUGACUCUACCAUAUUCUUAGUGAUUAGGAUUGGGGCUUUUUUCCCUAUUGCAAAUUAAAAAAUAGAAGUAAAAAUUUACUAAUUAUCAUCAUUGUAUAUGGCAAGAUUCUACCACAUAAAGUGAAGAUGUGCAAGGAAAACAUCUAGUAUAUUGUGGGAGCUACUGGAAAUAAAUAAUAAAAUACUAAUCAUACUAAAACUAGACAAUUCAAAAGAAGCCAUUCUAAUCCAUGAAAUAAAUAUUAACUGGAGCCCAAAC